CGGGGCUUAGCUCAGCUUGGUAGAGUGUCCGGUUUGGGACCGGAAGGCCAGAGGUUCGAAUCCUCUAGCCCCGA
rnacentral:tRNA from 1 species